rnacentral:rRNA from 1 species
UACGUAGGGUGCGAGCGUUAAUCGGAAUUACUGGGCGUAAAGCGUGCGCAGGCGGUUUUGUAAGCCAGAUGUGAAAUCCCCGGGCUUAACCUGGGAAUGGCAUUUGGGACUGCAAGGCUCGAGUGCGGCAGAGGAGACUGGAAUUCCUGGUGUAGCAGUGAAAUGCGUAGAGUAUCAGGAGGAACACCGAUGGCGAAGGCAGGUC